rnacentral:rRNA from 1 species
AGGGCCGCUACCACGCGAGUGGAUGCCAAUCCCUAAAACCCCUCUCAGUUCGGACUGGAGUCUGCAACCCGACUCCACGAAGCUGGAUUCGCUAGUAAUCGCGCAUCAGCCACGGCGCGGUGAAUACGUUCCCGGGCCUUGUACACACCGCCCGUCAAGCCAUGGGAGCCGGGGGUACCUGAAGUGCGUAACCGCGAGGAUCGCCCUAGGGUAAAACUGGUGACUGGGGCUAAGUCGUAACAAGGUAUC